rnacentral:rRNA from 1 species
GAUGAACGCUGGCGGCGUGCCUAAUACAUGCAAGUCGAGCGAAUGGAUUAAGAGCUUGCUCUUAUGAAGUUAGCGGCGGACGGGUGAGUAACACGUGGGUAACCUGCCCAUAAGACUGGGAUAACUCCGGGAAACCGGGGCUAAUACCGGAUAACAUUUUGAACCGCAUGGUUCGAAAUUGAAAGGCGGCUUCGGCUGUCACUUAUGGAUGGACCCGCGUCACAUUAGCUAGUUGGUGAGGUAACGGCUCACCAAGGCAACGAUGCGUAGCCGACCUGGGAGGGUGAUCGGCCACACUGGGACGGAGACACGGCCCAGAAUCCUUAGGGAGGCAGCAGUAGGGAAUCUUCCGCAAUGGACGAAAGUCUGACGGAGCAACGCCGCGUGAGUGAUGGGGGCUUUCGGGUCGUAAAACUCUGUUGUUAGGGAAGAACAAGUGCUAGUUGAAUAAGCUGGCACCUUGACGGUACCUAACCAGAAAGCCACGGCUAACUACGUGCCAGCCGCCGCAGUAA